rnacentral:rRNA from 1 species
UACAGAGGGGGCAAGCGUUAUUCGGAAUUAUUGGGCGUAAAAGGCGCGUAGGCGGCUUUGCAAGUGACGGGUGAAAUCCCUCGGCUUAACCGAGGAACUGCCUGUCAAACUGCAUGGCUUGAGACCGGGAGAGGUGAGUGGAAUUCCCAGUGUAGCGGUGAAAUGCGUAGAUAUUGGGAGGAACACCAGUGGCGAAGGCGGCUCACUGGACCGGUACUGACGCUGAUGCGCGAAAGCGUGGGGAGCAAACAGG